GACGAAGGAUGCAAGCGUUAUCCGGAUUCAUUGGGUUUAAAGGGAGCGUAGGUGGCCUUGUAAGUCAGUGGUGAAAUCUGGCAGCUUAACUGCUAAAUUGCCAUUGAUACUGCAGGGCUUGAGUACAGAUGCCGUUGGCGGAAUAUGACAUGUAGUGGUGAAAUACAUAGAGAUGUCAUAGAACACCGAUUGCGAAGGCAGCUGACGAAACUGUAACUGACACUGAGGCUCGAAAGUGUGGGGAUCAA
rnacentral:rRNA from 1 species